rnacentral:rRNA from 1 species
UACGAAGGGGGCUAGCGUUGCUCGGAAUCACUGGGCGUAAAGCGCGUGUAGGCGGCCAAGCAGGUCCGUUGUGAAAACUGGAGGCUUAACCUCCAGACGUCGACGGAAACCGCGUGGCUAGAGUCCGGAAGAGGAGAGUGGAAUUCCUGGUGUAGCGGUGAAAUGCGCAGAUAUCAGGAAGAACACCAAUGGCGAAGGCAGCUCUCUGGGACGGUACUGACGCUGAGACGCGAAAGCGUGGGGAGCGAACAGG